GAUGAACGCUGGCGGCAUGCCUAAGACAUGCAAGUCGUACGAAGUGGCCCUUUGAAAUGGAGUGCUUGCACAAAGUAGAUAAGGAUUUCACUUAGUGGCGCAAGGGUGAGUAACACGUGGGUUAUCUGCCUUUAAGACUGGGAUAACAAUUGGAAACGAUUGCUAAUACCGGAUAUUAUAUAUAAUGAUACGUUGUUAUAUAUUAAAAGGAGCCUUUAAAGCUUCACUUAAAGAUGAGCCUGCGGCGCAUUAGCUAGUUGGUAAGGUAAUGGCUUACCAAGGCGACGAUGCGUAGCCGAACUGAGAGGUUGAUCGGCCACAUUGGGACUGAGACACGGCCCAGACUCCUACGGGAGGCAGCAGUGGGGAAUAUUGGGCAAUGGGCGCAAGCCUUACCCAGCAACGCCGCGUGAGGGAAGAAGGUUUUCGGAUUGUAAACCUCUGUCCUGGGGGGCGAAGAAAGUGACGGUACCCCGGGAGGAAGCCCCGGCUAACUACGUGCCAGCAGCCG
rnacentral:rRNA from 1 species